GAUGCCUGGAGACCCAGCUUGCUUGACUCAUUAACUUCCUUACAGAGUAAUAAAGGAGGCUCCAGAUGGUCAGAAUUUUGCGAGAACUGAGAUAAUUUUCUUUCAGAUGAAGAAUUUAUUUUAAAACUUGAGAUAAGACGAAAUCUGUGCGUUGCACUUUCCUGCUGCUCGCCAUUUGCCAUGGCAGGGUAUUCACAGGAGCAGAGGGGUUCAUUAAGCAGCUCAGAAUUGCAAAAUCUGUUGGCAUGUACCACAUAAUAUUUGACAGCGGCUGCCUGUAAAUUACGAAGCAGCUAGUUGGAGCAGCAGCAGCAUAAUGAAGAUUUAUGGCUCCAGGACACAGGCUUAUGUGGAGAACAGUUGGUAAUAAGGGACCAGUUUCUCAUUAUGCAACCCAUGCCUUUUUUUAGGCUGUUGUAGACUCAGUACUUAAAUUUGUUACUUUGGAAGGUCUUGCAGUAGACAGAAGGCUUGCAGCAG